AUUGAACGCUGGCGGUAUGCUUAACACAUGCAAGUCGAACGUGAAAGAGGGGCAACCCUCAAGUAAAGUGGCGGACGGGUGAGUAAUACGUAGGAAUCUACCUUAGAGCGGGGGAUAACCCGGGGAAACUCGGGCUAAUACCGCAUAGUCUCUACGGAGUAAAGGUUGCUAGCAAUAGCUAUCACUUUAAGAUGAGCCUACGCCGGAUUAGCUAGUUGGUAGGGUAAAGGCCUACCAAGGCAACGAUCCGUAGCUGGUCUGAGAGGACGACCAGCCACACUGGGACUGAGAUACGGCCCAGACUCCUACGGGAGGCAGCAGUGGGGAAUAUUGGACGAUGGGCGAAAGCCUGAUCCAGCAAUACCGCGUGUGUGAUGAAGGCCUGCGGGUUGUAAAGCACUUUCGUUGGGGAAGAAAUGCUCAGGGCUAAUAUCCUUGAGAGUUGACGUUACCCAAAGAAGAAGCACCGGCUAACUCUGUGCCAGCAGCCGCGGUAAGAC
rnacentral:rRNA from 1 species